GGAAGGGUCGCUCAGCGGCAGAGCACCGUGGUUCCACCGCGGCGGCAUUUCGCCUCGUGGCGUUCGAAUCCCACCCCUUCCG
rnacentral:tRNA from 3 species